rnacentral:rRNA from 1 species
CGAAUCGCAUGGCCUUGCGCCGGCGAUGGUUCAUUCAAAUUUCUGCCCUAUCAACUUUCGAUGGCAGGGUCUUGGCCUGCCAUGGUUACAACGGGUAACGGAGGGUUAGGGCUCGACCCCGGAGAAGGAGCCUGAGAAACGGCUACUACAUCCAAGGAAGGCAGCAGGCGCGCAAAUUACCCAAUCCCGAUUCGGGGAGGUAGUGACAAUAAAUACUGAUACAGGGCUCUUUUGGGUCUUGUAAUUGGAAUGAGUACAAUUUAAAUCCCUUAACGAGGAACAAUUGGAGGGCAAGUCUGGUGCCAGCAGCCGCGGUAAUUCCAGCUCCAAUAGCGUAUAUUAAAGUUGUUGCAGUUAAAAAGCUCGUAGUUGAACCUUGGGCCUGGCUGGCCGGUCCGCCUCACCGCGUGCACUGGUUCGGCCGGGCCUUUCCCUCUGGGGAACCCUAUGGUCUUCACUGAUCGUAGCGGGGAACCAGGACUUUUACUGUGAAAAAAUUAGAGUGUUCAAAGCAGGCCUAUGCUCGAAUACAUUAGCAUGGAAUAAUAAAAUAGGACGUGUGGUUCUAUUUUGUUGGUUUCUAGGACCGCCGUAAUGAUUAAUAGGGACAGUCGGGGGCAUCAGUAUUCAAUUGUCAGAGGUGAAAUUCUUGGAUUUAUUGAAGACUAACUACUGCGAAAGCAUUUGCCAAGGAUGUUUUCAUUAAUCAGGAACGAAAGUUAGGGGAUCGAAGACGAUCAGAUACCGUCGUAGUCUUAACCAUAAACUAUGCCGACUAGGGAUCGGACGGUGUUAUUUUUUGACCCGUUCGGCACCUUACGAGAAAUCAAAGUC